rnacentral:rRNA from 1 species
GAUGAACGCUGGCGGCGUGCCUAAUACAUGCAAGUCCAGCGAACGGACGUGAAGCUUGCUUCUCUGAUGUUAGCGGCGGACGGGUGAGUAACACGUGGAUAACCUACCUAUAAGACUGGGAUAACUUCGGGAAACCGGAGCUAAUACCGGAUAAUAUUUUGAACCGCAUGGUUCAAAAGUGAAAGACGGUCUUGCUGUCACUUAUAGAUGGAUCCGCGCUGCAUUAGCUAGUUGGUAAGGUAACGGCUUACCAAGGCAGCGAUGCAUAGCCGACCUGAGAGGGUGAUCGGCCACACUGGAACUGAGACACGGUCCAGACUCCUACGGGAGGCAGCAGUAGGGAAUCUUCCGCAAUGGGCGAAAGCCUGACGGAGCAACGCCGCGUGAGUGGUGAAGGUCUUCGGAUCGUAAAACUCUGUUAUUAGGGAAGAACAUAUGUGUAAGUAACUGUGCACAUCUUGACGGUACCUAAUCAGAAAGCCACGGCUAACUACGUG